rnacentral:lncRNA from 13 species
UAUUUCUUCUAAUUAGAUGUUUUUAAAUGGUAACUGUACACAUACCUGGCUUCAUUCAUAUUAUUUGCAGAUAUGAGGACACAAGCUAAACAUCCUCCUGAUCAGAGAGAAGAUGCAUGCUCUGUCCUGCGAGCAUUUUCCAGAAAAGCAGCCUGACAGCAAAAGCCUUAGAAGAGAAUGCGAAACUGUGGACCCAAAGAAAUUAAAUCCCUUGUCCAAGGUUACAGAGCUGGUUCCAACCAUUGAAACACUUGUUUUAUCGGAUAUUUAA